ACGAGCAGCUGAACGGAGAGUCUGCCACCGUGAAGGCGAGGAAAGGAACCUUUAAUGAAUCAACCACAGAUUCUCACACUGCAAAAAGAAGCAGAUCAAUGGCCGUUUUAAGAGUUAAAGCUGUUUUCCUCAUGUUCGUUCUGCUGACUCUGCUCUGCUCUGCAAGUUCUUUGAUUGACGACGACGAGCUGAGAGAAAUAAGAAGAAACAUUCAGAAACUGCAACAUAAUGCCGCCAGGAGAAAAGCAAUUAACACAGUUGACCUUAAUUUCAUCCCUGGGAUUAUGGAUGAUGUCACACAGAUAUUGAACAGUUUGGUGGAAACGCUGAUGGGAAAAGUGCCACAUUUUUUGCUAGAAAUCGUGAAAGAGAUAAUCGACUUCCUGGAGCAAAUGAAAGGUUUUGCAAUUAAAGAGCUGCUGAAUCAAGCUGCAAAUAUCAAGAACAGUACAGAGAAGCUGACACAACUGGAAACUCUUGUAACAAACCUAGCAGACAAAAAAAAUAUGUAAAUGUUAUGUUCUGUCAGCGUCUCAGCUCUGUCUCACUGAAGUGAUUUCUCUUUUAUA